GACAUCACUUUGGGUUUUGUUUAAUGUCCAAGUUUCUGAAAAUUCCUUUUUUUGUUGCUGUUAUUUUGUAGAUUGGAAAGAUGUUCUGAUCUUGAUCUUAUAGUUGUUGUAUGAUAGAUAAACUUUCCUAUGUUGGCUUUUUCUUGUUUAUUGUUUCAUGGGUAGUGGUCAACGUGUCUUGAACUUGCAACUCUUUAGCCUUCAGCAAAUUUUGCUUCUGCAAAAUGAAAAAGAAAGAGGGAAUGACAUGUAUUCAACAGAUUUAGGAAGAAAUAUCGCUUUUUAUUUGAGGAGGAGCUUCCUGCCAAAAAAGACGAACUACAGAAGCAAAUUAAGAAAUCUAAGGACCCAAAAACCAUUGAAGAACUAAAGAAACAUAUCUCUUUGAUUGAUAAACAGCUAAAUUCUGAGUCAGCUAAGUGUACUGAAGCUGCAAUACUGACUGAGCACAAGAAAAAAGAGAGAAAAAGCAGCAAAGGAAGGGAAGCAACCCUUUUUUCUUAAGAAAUGUUAUGCCCUUUCUUGCUGCCUCUCUACCACUGUGCGCAUGUUCAUCUGUCUCCGGUUCAAAAUACUUCUAGUCAGUACAUACGAGAUGCAAGGAA